rnacentral:rRNA from 1 species
GAUGAACGCUGGCGGCGUGCCUAAUACAUGCAAGUCGAGCGAACAGACGAGGAGCUUGCUCCUUUGACGUUAGCGGCGGACGGGUGAGUAACACGUGGGUAACCUACCUAUAAGACUGGGAUAACUUCGGGAAACCGGAGCUAAUACCGGAUCAUAUUUCGAACCGCAUGGUUCGAUAGUGAAAGAUGGCUUUGCUAUCAGUUAUAGAUGUACCUGCGCCGUAUUAGCUAGUUGGUAAGGUAACGGCUUACCAAGGCAACGAUACGUAGCCGACCUGAGAGGGUGAUCGGCCACACUGGAACUGAGACACGGUCCAGACUCCUACGGGAGGCAGCAGUAGGGAAUCUUCCGCAAUGGGCGAAAGCCUGACGGAGCAACGCCGCGUGAGUGAUGAAGGUCUUCGGAUCGUAAAACUCUGUUAUUAGGGAAGAACAAACGUGUAAUUAACUGUGCACGUCUUGACGGUACCUAAUGAGAAAGCCACGGCUAACUACGUG